CAUGCUCUGAGCCGGGGUGUGCUUCCUGCGCGCAGCCGAGCACAUGGCUAAUUAAGCACGUGAAUAUUCAUGAGAUACCCGAGUGACAACAACACGGUGGAUUGUAAUACCUACAGUGUGGAGUUUCAACGUGGUGUCUAACGUUAACAGACGUCUGAGCCAUGAUGUCCAAAAGGAAGUCCAGGAUAAAGCCUGUCGAAGAUGCAAAGUCGUAAAUUCUGUCUUCGAGAGACAAGCCAUGGUUUGCAGAAAGAUUUAUCAACAAUAUCAAAGGAAGAGGAGUGUUUGCUACCCAACCAAUCGAGAAAGGUUCUUUUGUGUUGGAGUACAGGGGGGAAUUCAUAUCAGUGGAAGAAUGCCAAUCAAGGCACUACUCAGAGAUACAGAGUACAUUCCUGUAUGAAUUUGAUUGGCAGAAACGCAAGUGGUGUAUUGAUGCAUCCAAAGAAGAUGGUUCCCUUGGAAGGCUGUAAGCAAGAAGGCUUCUGCUGUGGCAGUAGAAGCAAACACCUUCCCUACAGUGCUGACUUCCCAUGAGGAUUCAAAGGGAGAUUAUGCUGGGGUACAGGUGACAUACAAGCAGACUUCUGCAGUGGAAGAAGAGACCGAUGUUCUUCCUGUUAAUCUGUCUUCCCAUGAUGAGGAUGAGGAUGCUAGC